GUAUUACGAACCAUUGUUAUUUGUUUGUUUCAGUAAAUGAGGCAGGCAUCAAAAAUGUACAUGGGCCAUAAGUAGUGUUGUGAAAUCCUAUUCUUGUGGAAGUGAGCUGGAGAAUGAAUUCAACACAGAGCCUCUCUUAGCAGAGCAAGUAGCUGCAGAAAGGAAUAGGGGUCAGUAAGAGAUGAGACAUUUGUAAUGGUGCUGUCAGCUGAAGGGACUGACCACAAUUUUGGAGACAUACCACAUGAAAUCAUUGAUUUUCUGGAGUUUCUGGAGUGUUAAUAACUACAAAAAAGGAAUUUGAAAAAAGCUUAUAUCAAGCAACUCCUACCACAGCAAAUCUGGCAAGUCUGUCCAUUUAGCCCACAUCUCUAUUGUUUACAGGCUAAUUGUGGAGUUCAACAACUGUGAAUACUAUCCUGCACACAGAGUAUUACAGUGCUGUUGUCUUGGGAAUGUCUUCUUUAAGUAGAAUAGAGAUUGCAUUUAUUUGUCUGGGAUAUAUUUUACUGAAGAAAUUCUAAUUAUCUGACUUCCUAUGUUAUCCCUACAGAAGAGGAAAGGAACUGUAAGAAACAGUUAUAGAGGAAAUCUUCCUCCAAAAUGAAACUCCCAAAAUGAACAUGAAACAUGCCCCCACAGAAUCCGGUGUAGGCCUCUUGUACUACAAAACAGCAGACCAGUUUUACUCAUCAAGCAAUUCCAUGGAAGACACAGAGAUCUGUGUUCAUGAACUUAUUUGCAUGUUGACAGACUGUGUUUCAGUGUAACUGGUUUAUUCAAAUCACAUUAGCAGGAAAUACAGACAAAAAAAAAAAAAAUUGCAAAGAAUGAAGUCAUUUGCAGCCUUAUCUAAAAUCUCUUACAUGUAGUCUGUUCUUUCUGAAAGCCUGUAAAUCCUGGAAAUCAGAACAGAAGCUAGAGAAAAUGGCAUUAAAAUAGUGCUCCAAAGUCAGAGACUGUAGAUAGCUUAAGACCCUCUUAGAACAUCCAGCAUAUGAAAGUCACAUGCAUCUUGGUACAGACUUCAUAAAGCCCAUUUUUUAGUAAAUGAUAGAAGAUUGCCCCCAGAUAUUUUAGUGAAUGGUUAAUAGAAAUGCAUCAGAUGUUGGAGCUUCUGGGAUCAUGAUUUGGAACUGCAUAUAUUCUUAAUGAAAACUUAGUGACGAAUGGAGGGGAGACUGAAAAAUACGGCAUGUGUGUGAUAAGAAUCCUCAACUAAACACAGAUGUUGAGAAGACAAACAUUGCUCAGGAGGUUACUUUCAGCAAACUGUCUUUGCCUGACGUGUACUUCUCUACAAGAAAAUCAACUACCAGAUGUGUCCGUGAAAAACUAGACUGGUUUUACCUGUUCUGACAAGGAAGCAACCAUAACCAGUCAUGGAUUUACUUAAGAGGGAGAAGAACACUGUUGAAGGAAAGAGAAAGAUAGAAAUACAAGCACAUGUGGACUGCUACUGUUUCUUACAAAUGUUCACCUACAUAAGCAAAUUUUCGACUACAGCAAUCUCAGGGAAGCAUCUGGCUGCAAAUGAGAAUAUCGUGAUUUUCUUCAAGUCCUAAAGGAAAUGCCGAAAUGGAUAUGAACAUUGCAUAAACUGUGCAAAAAAAAAAAAAAAAAAGACAGAAUCAUCACAGAAUCAUCAUAGAUAACAACAACAGAAUAACAACCUCCAGUGUUAUUCAUUCUGAAAGUAAUUGAAAAGACUCUUCAAUUAACUAUGAUCUCUGUUAACAACCUACUGCAAAACUGUUAUCUCGUAAAGAUGACUUUUUUAUUGAAUCUAGUACUUUAUCUGGUAGCAGAAUUCACUGUUUAUCUACAAUGCAUAAAGCUGCAAAUCUUAUAUGCAUGUAAGUUCCGUGUGUAAGAAAGAAAAGAAGAAAAGCAUCUAUGGAAAUUCUAGAGAGACAAAAGUUAAUAAUUUUCUUUCAAUUGGGUGUAAGUGAUGCAGAAUUCAGUCCAGACUUUGGGAAAAGAAAAAAAAAAAAAAAAAAUAGUGAGAGUAUCAUGCUUACUGUGAUUUUCAGAUAAAGUAAUCCUAAAGCAUUUCUCAAAGGUAUAGAUUAAAUGCUCAUUAUGUAAAUGUACUUACUCACCAAUCUGUUCUUUGUUCAUCUAGAUAAAGUAGUACACUGUUUCCAUGUCAAGCAACUGCUGAUUACAAAUAAAUAAUUCAGCACUGAGAGAUGCUGUCCAUAGUGCAUGAAAAACGGAAACAAAUUGAAAAGGAAUGUCAAUAAAUUGACAAUAUUAAAUUUCAAUCAAUUUGGUCUGAUUGGAUAAUUUAAGCUUGCAGCUGCUGUGAGAUCAGAAAGGGAAGGGAAAUGUCAAUAAUUCUAAAGUGUGCUAACAUUUGACUUUUUACAAUUGUGUGUAAACCUCUAAAAUGAGACAACAAAGUUUCCUAUUGAGGCAGAAAAUGAAAUACCACUUCUAUGACGUCGUAAUGAUAGUAUCAUUGUUAGGCUUAAUAAUGAAGUGACAGAGGCCACUAAUGUGUAUAUUUAUGAAGCAGAAGUAAAAAGAUUCAUAUCCAUU